GACCUGGUGGUGAAUCGUAUUAUCACACCUGCUUCAAAUUGCACUGUUCCGCCAAGUGAUGCGGGCGUUCCUGGUUCAAAUCCAGGCCAGGUCA